rnacentral:rRNA from 1 species
GGGACGAACGCUGGCGGCGUGCCUAACACAUGCAAGUCGAACGAGGUCCAAGUCGUGGCAACACGACGGAAGACCUAGUGGCGAACGGGUGAGUAACACGUGAGGAACCUACCCCGGAGACCGGGAUAACUCUCCGAAAGGAGAGCUAAUACCGGAUGUCCCCAUCGGGUCGCAUGACCUGAUGAGGAAAUGGAUUCCGCUCCGGGCGGGCCUCGCGGCCCAUCAGCUUGUUGGCGAGGUAACGGCUCACCAAGGCAUCGACGGGUAGCUGGUCUGAGAGGACGAUCAGCCACACUGGGACUGAGACACGGCCCAGACUCCUACGGGAGGCAGCAGUGGGGAAUCUUGCGCAAUGGGCGAAAGCCUGACGCAGCAACGCCGCGUGGGGGAUGAAGGCCUUCGGGUUGUAACCCCUUUCAGUGGGGACGAAAUUGACGGUACCACAGAAGAAGCCCGGCUAACUACGUGCCAGCAGCCGC